ensembl:lncRNA MEG8 maternally expressed 8, small nucleolar RNA host gene
GUGAGCCUCAGGAUGGAUGUUUGCCAGCCGAUUCCAUGGUUACAAGCUCUAUAGCUGCAUCUAUGUGUUAGGAGCAUGAAGACCAAUAAUGGAUGCACUGAGCUGAUUAUGAAUUUAGCCCUGAUGAAGACUUGUGUUGCUGUCAUGAUAUGAAAGAUUCCAGUAAUGAACGCACUUGAGUUGAUUCAAGCACGCUUCCAUGGUCAUGAGCUCUGUGGUUGCAUCUGUGUGUUAGGAGCAUGCAGACCAAUAGUGAUAAUCUCGAGGUGAUUUAUGCAUUCUUCCAUGGCCACCAGCCUUAUGAUUGCAUCUGUGCGUCACAGCUUAGAGAUCAAUAAUGGAUGCAACAAGCUCUUUGAAUCAUUCUGUUGGGAUCAAGAUUGUUGUGUUCCCUCUGUUUGGAAAGAGACCAAGAAUGGAUACGCUCAGGUGAUUUAAGCAGUCUUCCAUGGCCACGAGCUCUGUGGUUGCCUCUGUAUAUUAAGAGCACAGAGAUUAAAAAUGGCCCCAUUCCAGCUGAUAUAAGCACUCUUCCAUGGCAUGUGCACUAUGGUUGGUUCUCUGUGUUAGGAGCACACAAACCAUUGCGAGUAUGCAUUCAUUUCCUCUCUUUACAAGAAUGGGUGCACUUGAGCCGAUUGAAACAUUCCUCCUUGCAUCUUUCUUCUGUGAUUGCAUCUAUUUGUUAGUAGCAUAGAGACCAAUAAUAGAUGGCUUGUGCUGAUGGAAGGAUUCCUCCCUGGUGACAUGCUGUGUCUGCCUCUUGAUUGGGAGCACGCAGACCUACAAUGAUGCACUUUUUAUGAUUUGAGAAUUCCUUCAUGGUCACGUGCUCUGUUUUUAUCAUGGUUGGGAGCCUGCAGAGCAAUGUGAGUAGUAAUCAACAUUCUUAUCUUGGCCCGAAUGGUUUGUUUAAGAGGACUCAGGGUAUUAUCAAAAAGCCUAUAAUAUAAUCAGAAUGGUCAACUGUAUCUAAGUGAUAGAAAUUGGAGUGAUAUGAAGCAUUAUAUUGAUAAUGCAUAUAUGAAAAAUUGAGGGUAAUGAAACAGAUAUAUCGAUGUUAGAAUGAUUCCAUGUACAGAUUGGGAAUAUCAAGACUCUUCUUGGAGCUCUUUGAAUCAGACUCUUUAAUGUUGUUAUUAGUGAAUUAGUAAAUUAAUCACAAAAAUACAGGCAUGAAUUGAGAAAAGGAAGACCAAUCCUGGAUCGAUGAUGACUACUGGUGGCGUAUGAGUCAUAGACAAUGAAUACGUGUCUGGAACUCUGAGGUCCAUCGUCCAUCACAA